UUUUUUUAAGUUAAAUUAAGUGUUACUUUUCUGAGGAAGUAGCCAGAACACUACUCUCUCAAUUUCAGAGAUCAGCUGAUACAAUUUAAAGUCAGACAUUAUUCCUAACCAAACUAUAUUCUUUUGUCUGCCAAGAUAUCUUGACAAUUUUAAUAUCUGAAGGUAGGCCUAUAUGAUAAUCCCAGCAGUAUUCUGGAGAUAAGAUUUUAGUGGGUUUGUUGAGCAGGAAAUACUUGUUCAGGUGGCUUUCAUCAUGCCACUCAGCUUCGAUGUCAUUUUGCUUGUCCUGGAGGAUUCCCUUAAAGCACUCCUGGGUGAGGUUGAGAACCUGAAGGGGUGUUCCUCCAAAAAUGGCUGCAUGGUAAUAAAAAUCCCCUUGUCCAAAUGGAAUGUAUGCUGCCGACUCUUUCCGCCUCUCAUAGGUAAAUUCGUCAGGAUCUGCUUUGUACCACCAGGCCUGUAGCUGAGCCACUGACUGGCCCAGGGUCUCCACCCCAAAGUUGUCUUGGAAGACCUGGUCCACAUCCAUGCAAAAGAGGAAGUCAACCUCGUGUUGGAUAUGGGCUGAAAUGUGCUCCCCAAUGGUCUUCAUGCGCAUCAUGCUGAUGUCCUGCCACCUCUUCUCUGGCUUGAUCUCAAACACUUUGAAGGAGCGUAGAGGACCCAGCUCUAUCAAAGGGAUUCUGGAGACAUCAUCCACCAGGAUGUAAAAUAUGACUUUGUGGCCAAUCAUGAAGUAUCUAUUAGCAGAUGUUAUGAACUCCUCCAAGUAAUGCUCAAUGUAUCUGAAACAAAGAAGAACGCAAAACAAUUAAGGCUUUAGGACUCUGUGGGAGACCACAUGCUAUUAUAAUCAUCUUGUCUCUAUUUUACAGUUAGGAGUACAAUUUCUUUCCACCCCAGAUGUGUGUUUUCAUGUGGAGGGACAUCUGUUAGUGUAACACUCCUGGCUACUCUCCACCAUGCAGUCACUCAGUCCUUGGGGCGGAAUGACUUAGCUGACUGCCAGUUUUGGAAGAGCAACUGGGCACGCACAGCCCUGUCCUCCUGCCCUUGGAAGCUGGCCAACUUGAGAAGCAUGUGUUUUCAACUGCUCUGCCUUGUGGCCCACGCUACAGUUCAUCCUGUCAAGCCAUGCUAUGGAGAUUCUAGGGAAGAGGAAGAAGAAAUCAGAUGGCUUAAUACACCGCAUCCAAACCCAAACCUCGUGUACAUGCACGUGGACUGAUCACACUGCCGGCCACUGGUGAUCUUUUUAUGCCUCCAAAUUGAAUCAGCUUCAAGCCCUGCAAGGCCUGCUCCUCCCAGACCGAGGCAGGCUCAGCCCUGGGCUAAACACUUUAGCAGCAGGCACUCAGAUGAUAACACAUACGCUGCGAAGUUACUCUGUUAUUAUUUCCAUUUUUCAGAUAUGAAAGCAAAGCAGGGCUCACAGAGGUGGAGUAACUUGCCCCGUGGCACAGCAUAGAGUGGUAGGGCUCAGGAUUCAGACCCAGGGAGUCUUUUAACCACUCGGCUGCUGACCUAAACAGGAAGGCCUGGCCACAGGUGAAUACUCAGAUCUCCUUGGUACAGCCUCUCAUUUUGUCUCUCAUGAUCACCACGUGGGACUGACCCAAAGCCAGCCAAACGCCGGAGGGACUCACCGUGGAGCCACCUUUCCCCGGACUACAGAGCGAGCCCUGACCGGCUCAACGCCUCUGCUGCUGCUUCCAGGCACCUCCUGUGCCUGGUGUGGGAUGUCCUCGUUCCCAUCACCCGUGUUCCUCGCAAGAGUCAACGCAGUGGCCUUGGCUCGGCUUUGUCGUGAAGAAUCUAAAUGUCGGCAAAGGGAAGCUGCUCGCCUGAGAUCCCUGGACACACCCAGAAGUGGUGGGUCUUAAAUGCAGACCCUGCGCCUCCUGGCCCAGUGCCUGGUGUUGGGAUGAUGCCAGGGAAAGGAGGGAGGGUACCGCAUUAUCCGAAAACAUCUCUAAAUUGGCAGGCGGUGUAGAAGUGCUCCUCUGGGGAAGAAACGGGGUCAAUUCAUGGCCGGGAAAGAACAUGGAAGGCUGUUCCCAGUUAUGUUCUUCAUUAUAAGGGUCAACAUCAGCCCAGACGCAGGAAAACAACAGACAGGUCUCAGACUAAAUACACGGCUAACCGUCAGCCCAGCCAUCACAAAUGGAACAACCUGUCCUGUGAGGGGCAGCUUGAAGCGCCUUUUCUUGAAUACCCGUCAGGAAAUCAAAGGCCGGGAUCCAGCCUGCUGUCUUUGCUGCCUGACCCAGAAACCACUGCGCAAGGAUCUGUCCAAAGAGAACCAAAGGAAGAGGAAUGGAAGCUGCUGCACUGUCCUGAGAGAGUUCGCAUCUCUCCAUCAUGCCUGUUCCAGGGUCCCCAAGACCCUGCCCCCGCCCUGUCCCCAUAAAUCCUGCAGAGAAAAUACUAGGCCACAGCCACAUCGGCUGCAGCCCUGCGCGGUCCUGCCAAGGGGAGCCAAAUAAAACCAGAACUUACUGCAAGAGUCCCACCAGCUCCCGCUUCCAGACCCACUGCUGGGGAAAGAAGGAUUUUGUCCUCGUUCCAAACAGGGGACCAGCGAGAGCUUAGGGGGUAGCAGGGACCCUGCCCCAGGGCGGAUCCACAAGGCCAACUCUUCACCAUUUCCCCAGUGACCCCACACGGCAGAGGCACAUCAUUUCAACAUUUCACAUACCUCAUCGUCUGCUGCUUUCCCUCCGGAGGAAAAGGCCAAACAACCGAGUUCUAUUGAGUGGGAUCUGCAGGAGGAGGCAGGGCUCAGAGGCAGGGAAGGUGCGGCAUUCCAGCUCCUUUCAAAAGAAUAAACAGCUGUUUCAGGAAGCAGGGGGAGUCGCAGCCCUCUGCUUUGUUUCUUGCUCGCCUGGGAAAUGGGCUGUUUAUCAGGCCUGUUGACUCAGAGCUGAAAGCCCGUGAGCACAGCCUCCCUGCCAAGUGAAGCCACAGGUCCAAACUGGGCCUGAGGUGGGAGGGGGGAAGGCCGCCACCAGGAGAGGGCCACACAGGCUGCCCACAUCACCACCCCUGGGCAAGAGGAGGACUCCUCCGGACCCAGGCAACCUCAUGUGACUGCUCUGAGGAAGGGCCAGGGGAGAAGGUGGGGAAAACAAACAAACAACAAAAAACCAGGACCAGGCGGGGGAUGGGGAA